rnacentral:rRNA from 1 species
CCUACGGGAGGCUGCAGUGGGGAAUAUUGCACAAUGGGGGAAACCCUGAUGCAGCGACGCCGCGUGAGUGAAGAAGUAUUUCGGUACGUAAAGCUCUAUCAGCAGGGAAGAAAAUGACGGUACCUGACUAAGAAGCCCCGGCUAACUACGUGCCAGCAGCCGCGGUAAUACGUAGGGGGCAAGCGUUAUCCGGAUUUACUGGGUGUAAAGGGAGCGUAGACGGCAGCGCAAGUCUGGAGUGAAAUCCCAUGGCUUAACCAUGGAACUGCUUUGGAAACUGUGCAGCUAGAGUGCAGGAGAGGUAAGCGGAAUUCCUAGUGUAGCGGUGAAAUGCGUAGAGAUUAGGAGGAACACCAGUGGCGAAGGCGGCUUACUGGACUGUAACUGACGUUGAGGCUCGAAAGCGUGGGGAGCAAACAGGAUUAGAUACCCCAGUAGUC